rnacentral:rRNA from 1 species
AGUGAACGCUGGCGGUAGGCCUAACACAUGCAAGUCGAACGGCAGCACAGUAAGAGCUUGCUCUUACGGGUGGCGGCUGGCGGACGGGUGAUGAAUGCAUCGGAAUCUACUUUUUCGUGGGGGAUAACGUAGGGAAACUUACGCUACUACCUCAUACGACCUACGGGAGAAAGCAGGGGAUCUUCGGACCUUGCGCGAUUGAAUGAGCCGAUGUCGGAUUAGCUAGUUGGCGGGGUAAAGGCCCACCAAGGCGACGAUCCGUAGCUGGUCUGAGAGGAUGAUCGGCCACAUGAGAAGUUGGACACGGUCCAGACUCCUAAGAGAGGCAGCAGUCGGGAAUAUUGGACAAUGGGCGCAAGCAUGAUACAGCCAUACCGCGUGUGUGAAGAAGGCCUUCGGGGUGUAAAGCCCGUUUGUGGGGAAAGAAAAGCAGCAGGUUAAGACCCCGCUGUAGUGACGGUACCCAAAGAAGAAGCACCGGCUAACUUCGUG